rnacentral:tRNA from 1 species
GAGUUCAGUCAGUAGAGCACGAGACUCUUAAUAUCAGGGUCGUGGGUUUGAGCCCCACAUUGGGCA